rnacentral:rRNA from 1 species
CCUAGGGGAGGCAGCAGUGGGGAAUAUUGCACAAUGGGCGCAAGCCUGAUGCAGCCAUGCCGCGUGUAUGAAGAAGGCCUUCGGGUUGUAAAGUACUUUCAGCGGGGAGGAAGGUGAUGAGGCUAAUAACCUCAUCGAUUGACGUUACCCGCAGAAGAGGCACCGGCUAACUCCGUGCCAGCAGCCGCGGUAAU